CUUGGUCGGGUGAAAUACAUAUCAGAAAACUUCAGGCUUUUUUUGUUAACCAGAUCUCUACUGUAACUUCCGUUCUUCAUGCCAGGGAUUUGUCUUUCAAUGAGACAUUUGGGGACAUACCAUUUUCACUAUCAAAGAAUUGGAGACAUUAAUGGAGGAGUAAUUGACAAGCGGGUAUGUGAGGAGGGGAGCAAUUGAACUUGCUCAAAUGUUGUUCGAUAAAAAGCCUGAGAAGGAUUUUUUUCUUGCAUUGUUCUAAUUGAUGGGUACCAAGUGUGGAAAGGUUGAGAUUGCUCUUGAAGAUUUUGAUAACAUGCCAGGCAGGGAUUCGGUUUCUUAAGAUGUAAAGAAUAAUUGGUACAUGUCUUUGGUAAAGAUGGUGUUACUUUGUUGUGGGGUCUGGCUAAAAAAUAGCAGGGUAAGAAAUUGUAUUCACAUGAUACAGGUAGUAUUGUCCAUGCUUUGUGUUUUAGUCCAAAUAUUUUAGUGGGAACGUACAAGGAAGAGUGGAACUGAUUGUAAAUGUGUGUGUUUAGAGAAAUCAUUUGAAGUGCAUACCUUGUGGAUUGUAUUAUGUUUAUGCGCAUGUGAGGGAAAUCUGCAAUUAAGCUCUUCGACGCAAUGCAGAAACUUAUAAUGAUUAGUACCGGAUUGGACCACGUUUGCAGUUUUGCUUAGUGCAUGUCCUCUGAAAGGUCCGAUAAGAUGUAAGUUGUAACCUAAAAACUUAUUUGUUUCGCCGUUAUGUCUUUUGUUUUCCGUUAGUCCAGUAAUGGUCGUGUUGUUUUGUUUUUUAACUGCACAGUCCUUGUACUCUAUAACUUUCAAUAAUGUGAGAAUUAGCUCUGUAACUUAGGCGGAAGUUCUUAGUGUUGGACGAACAUUUUCUGACA